GAUGAACGCUGGCGGCGUGCCUAAUACAUGCAAGUCGAGCGAACGGACGAGAAGCUUGCUUCUCUGAUGUUAGCGGCGGACGGGUAAGUAACACGUGGAUAACCUACCUAUAAGACUGGGAUAACUUCGGGAAACCGGAGCUAAUACCGGAUAAUAUUUUGAACCGCAUGGUUCAAAAGUGAAAGACGGUCUUGCUGUCACUUAUAGAUGGAUCCGCGCUGCAUUAGCUAGUUGGUAAGGUAACGGCUUACCAAGGCAACGGUGCAUAGCCGACCUGAGAGGGUGAUCGGCCACACUGGAACUGAGACACGGUCCAGACUCCUACGGGAGGCAGCAGUAGGGAAUCUUCCGCAAUGGGCGAAAGCCUGACGGAGCAACGCCGCGUGAGUGAUGAAGGUCUUCGGAUCGUAAAACUCUGUUAUUAGGGAAGAACAUAUGUGUAAGUAACUGUGCACAUCUUGACGGUACCUAAUCAGAAAGCCACGGCUAACUACGUG
rnacentral:rRNA from 1 species